GAACGGCAGCGCGGGGCAACCUGGCGGCGAGUGGCGAACGGGUGAGUAAUACAUCGGAACGUGCCCUGUGAUGGGGGAUAACUACGCGAAAGCGUAGCUAAUACCGCAUACGACCCAAGGGUGAAAGUGGGGGAUCGCAAGACCUCACGUCAUAGGAGCGGCCGAUGGCGGAUUAGCUAGUUGGUGAGGUAAAGGCUUACCAAGGCGACGAUCCGUAGCUGGUCUGAGAGGACGACCAGCCACACUGGGACUGAGACACGGCUCAGACUCCUACGGGAGGCAGCAGUGGGGAAUCUUGGACAAUGGGGGCAACCCUGAUCCAGCAAUGCCGCGUGUGGGAUGAAGGCCUUCGGGUUGUAAACCACUUUUGGCGGGGGCGAAAUAUCGAGUGCUAAUACCAUUCGGUGAUGACGGUACCCGCAGAAUAAGCACCGGCUAACUACGUGCCAGCAGCCGCGGUAAUACGUAGGGUGCAAGCGUUAAUCGGAAUUACUGGGCGUAAAGCGUGCGCAGGCGGUUAAGUAAGACAGAUGUGAAAUUCCCGGGCUCAACCAGGGAACUGCAUUUGUGACUGCUUGACUAGAGUGCGGCAGAGGGGAGUGGAAUUCCGCGUGUAGCAGUGAAAUGCGUAGAUAUGCGGAGGAACACCGAUGGCGAAGGCAACUCCCUGGGCCUGCACUGACGCUCAUGCACGAAAGCGUGGGGAGCAAACAGGAUUAGAUACCCUGGUAGUCCACGCCCUAAACGAUGUCGACUAGUUGUUGGACGGGUUACUGUUCAGUAACGUAGCUAACGCGUGA
rnacentral:rRNA from 1 species